CCUACGGGAGGCAGCAGUGGGGAAUAUUGGGCAAUGGAGGCAACUCUGACCCAGCAACGCCGCGUGAGCGAUGAAGGUCUUCGGAUUGUAAAGCUCUUUAAGCGGGGACGAAGAAAGUGACUGUACCCGCAGAAUAAGCCUCGGCUAACUACGUGCCAGCAGCCGCGGUAAUACGUAGGAGGCAAGCGUUAUCCGGAAUGACUGGGCGUAAAGGGUGCGUAGGUGGUUUGGCAAGUUGGUAGCGUAAUCCCGGGGCUCAACCUCGGUGCUACUACCAAAACUGUUGAACUUGAGUGCAGGAGGGGUGAAUGGAAUUCCCAGUGUAGCGGUGAAAUGCGUAGAUAUCGAGAGGAACACUCGUGGCGAAGGCGGGUUCCUGGACAUUAACUGACGCUGAGGCACGAAGGCCAGGGGAGCGAAAGGGAGUAGAUACCCCUGUAGUC
rnacentral:rRNA from 1 species